GUGCUCACUUUGGCAGCACAUAUACUAAAAUUUUGACGAUACAGAGAAGAUUAGCCUGGCCCCUGUGCAAGGAUGGUAUGCAAAUUCACAAAGUAUUCCAUUUUUUU
ensembl:snRNA U6 U6 spliceosomal RNA